rnacentral:rRNA from 1 species
UACGUAGGGCGCAAGCGUUGUCCGGAAUUAUUGGGCGUAAAGAGCCCGUAGGCGGCUUGUCACGUCGGGUGUGAAAGCCCGGGGCUUAACCCCGGGUCUGCAUUCGAUACGGGCUGGCUGGAGUGUGGUAGGGGAGAUCGGAAUUCCUGGUGUAGCGGUGAAAUGCGCAGAUAUCAGGAGGAACACCGGUGGCGAAGGCGGAUCUCUGGGCCAUUACUGACGCUGAGGAGCGAAAGCGUGGGGAGCGAACAGG